CGACCGCGACCCCAGGUCAGACGGGACUACCCGCUGAGUUUAAGCAUAUCAAUAAGCGGGGA
rnacentral:rRNA from 1 species